UACGUAGGGGGCAAGCGUUGUCCGGAUUUAUUGGGCGUAAAGAGCGUGUAGGCGGCCACACAGGUCAGCUGUGAAAACUCGAGGCUCAACCUCGAGACGUCGGUUGAAACCGUAUGGCUAGAGUCCGGAAGAGGAGAGUGGAAUUCCCGGUGUAGCGGUGAAAUGCGCAGAUAUCGGGAAGAACACCCGUGGCGAAGGCGGCUCUCUGGAACAUUUCUGACGCUGAGGCUCGAAAGCGUGGGGAGCAAACAGG
rnacentral:rRNA from 1 species